rnacentral:rRNA from 1 species
GUCGUCAGCUCGUGCUGUGAAGUGUUGGGCUAAGUCCCGCAACGAGCGCAACCCCUGCUGCCUGUUGCCACCACGAGAGGUGGGGACUCAGCGGGACGCCGGUGACAAACCGGAGGAAGGUGGGGACGACGUCAAGUCAUCAUGGCCCUUAUGUCCUGGGCUACACACGUGCUACAAUGGCCGGUACAGAGCGCAGCGAGGCCGCGAGGCGGAGCGAAUCGCUUAAAGCCGGUCCCAGUACGGAUUGGAGUCUGCAACCCGACUCCAUGAAGUUGGAAUCGCUAGUAAUCGCGCAUCAGCAUGGCGCGGUGAAUACGUUCCCGGGCCUU